UUAACUUGUAGACGCCAGGAAGUUCUGUACGGACGAACUUGAUUGACAAAGCUGAGUUCCAUAAUUGCAGUGCAGUUUCUGUAAAGAUUGAAGGUGUGGUGGAGUUAUGCGUAGACUGCAAUAUUUAUAAGUGCAGUUUCUGUAAAGAUGGAAGGUGUGGAGAUUUUUCCGGAAAUAUAGUAGUGGUGAUGUUACGUGAUUAAAGGAAUAAAAUACUCAGAAAAGUAUUUAUGUUCUAUCUUUUCAGAAAUCAUGGGGUUUUUUAUUUAAUUAUUAUUUAGGAAAUUGUAGUGUUUGUAUUUAUAAUCUGGGUUAUAAUAUUUUCCUACAAUGAUGUGGAAAAUUCACUGAAUCAUAUGGUGACGUAAAGAACUUGAG
rnacentral:lncRNA from 1 species